GUGGGGAAUUUUGGACAAUGGGCGCAAGCCUGAUCCAGCAAUGCCGCGUGCAGGAAGAAGGCCUUCGGGUUGUAAACUGCUUUUGUACGGAACGAAACGGUCCGGGUUAAUACCCUGGGCUAAUGACGGUACCGUAAGAAUAAGCACCGGCUAACUACGUGCCAGCAGCCGCGGUAAUACGUAGGGUGCAAGCGUUAAUCGGAAUUACUGGGCGUAAAGCGUGCGCAGGCGGUUUUGUAAGACAGGCGUGAAAUCCCCGGGCUCAACCUGGGAAUUGCUGUUGUGACUGAAAGGCUGGAGUGCGGCAGAGGGGGAUGGAAUUCCGCGUGUAGCAGUGAAAUGCGUAGAUAUGCGGAGGAACACCGAUGGCGAAGGCAAUCCCCUGGGCCUGCACUGACGCUCAUGCACGAAAGCGUGGGGAGCAAACAGGAUUAGAAACCCCGGUAGUCC
rnacentral:rRNA from 1 species